AAGUGUAUUUUGGAGGAGAAAAACAAUGUUAUGCAAAGCACAAUAUGUUUUUAUGUGGUAAAAAAAAAACAAACAUACACCAGAUGAUUCAGAUUAAGAUUACUAACAAGUGGUGGUAUUGAAUGGGGCUGGGGGCAAUAUUUACCUUGUUUUACACACUCUUGUAUGUUGACUUAAAACAAGCACAUGUUAUCUGUGUCACACACAUAGAAUAAAUAGUAGACUUCAUUGAAACAUGCUACCAUAACAGUUAUAUCCAAACUGUAAAGAGUAGCAAUAUCACAUAAUUCAUCUACCUUAUUAAGGAGAUUACUAAAAAAUUUUAAUAGAUGAACAAAUAUUUUUAUACAUCAUUUUAAAUUCUUUAAAAUUUACCUUCAUAAAAUUUAGUUGUAUAUUUACAAAGUAAAGUCAUUUUCUUUUCCCCAAGUUAUGCAUUUCUAAGUAUGUAAUGGGGAAU
rnacentral:lncRNA from 1 species